rnacentral:rRNA from 1 species
UCCUACGGGUGGCAGCAGUGGGGAAUAUUGCACAAUGGGCGCAAGCCUGAUGCAGCCAUGCCGCGUGUAUGAAGAAGGCCUUCGGGUUGUAAAGUACUUUCAGCGGGGAGGAAGGUGUUGCGGUUAAUAACCGCAGCAAUUGACGUUACCCGCAGAAGAAGCACCGGCUAACUCCGUGCCAGCAGCCGCGGUAAUACGGCGGGUGCAAGCGUUAAUCGGAAUUACUGGGCGUAAAGAGCACGCAGGCGGUCGGUCAAGUCGGAUGUGAAAUCCCCGGGCUCAACCUGGGAACUGCAUUCGAAACUGGCAGACUAGAGUCUUGUAGAGGGGGGUAGAAUUCCAGGUGUAGCGGUGAAAUGCGUAGAGAUCUGGAGGAAUACCGGUGGCGAAGGCGGCCCCCUGGACAAAGACUGACGCUCAGGUGCGAAAGCGUGGGGAGCAAACAGGAUUAGAUACCCGGGUAGUCCAG